rnacentral:tRNA from 1 species
GCGGCCGUAGCUCAGUUGGACAGAGCGUCUGCCUCCGGAGCAGAAGGUCGCAGGUUCGAGUCCUGCCGGCCGCG